rnacentral:lncRNA from 1 species
UUUUCUGUGGCCCAGAUUCACUUCUCAGAAUCCAGUCAUAUUGGCACCCCCAAUAAAUGUUUAAUUGACAAACAUGUUUAUCUCUUCAAUUCAAUGCCAUUGCUGAGGUAUGCUAAUUUUACAAACAAUAGUAAUAUGGAUGUUUAUUCUGGUGAAGUGUCUGCAAAAUUAGUGCUAUAUAUGAGAGUUCAUAGAGAUUUUUGGAUUACCAGAAAAUAUAGAAAUUCAUAUGCCUCUAAUCGUUACUCAUGAAUAUUUGAUUGUGUUAUUAUCAUUAAGUUUGAGUUUAGAAUUAGAAGGAGGAGCUGUUUCUUAAUUCAAUUGAGAAACAGUUAAAGGAGAAUUCUCUUGAACUUUCUUCUCUCAAAAUGUAAGUAUUCAAUUGUCAAUCACGCUUCUAUCCAACAUUUCUAAGGGCCCAAUUUGUGUUGUUUAUAUCGUCUAAGAUAAGUAUUUGCUCCCUAACUUAUAAAUUUUUUAUAAGCUCAUAGGUGCUUAUGAAGAAGUUAGAUCAAUAUGAUUCAAAAUUGUACUUGCAGUCGCAAUUGUGGUUACGCUGCUGUGAACCUUGAUAUUGCGAGCGGUUGCGGUACUAUUGUGGAAACAAAAACUUUUAUAUUGCAGUUGUGACCAUAAUUUAAAACUAUUAAAAUUAUUAUAUGAAAUAUUCUUUAAAAAAAUUAAGAUUCAGAAUCUAAUUUCAAGUAGGAGCUAUUAUUCAGAAGACACUAACAACUGUAAGAUCAUUUCAACUUGAGUUUUUCUAUAAAUGUUUGUUAAAAAAGUGUACUUAAAUUAAAGAAAGGAUUAAUUUUACAUUCUCAAUUAAAAUGGAUGCAUAACAAUGGAUACAAAAUGUAAGAUAUUACCUUCAGUUGUGUCUUUUAUUACUUUACCUGAGAAAUUCAAUAGCUACUUAUUAUUUGUGUUUUAUUAUUUGGUUAUUUUCUAAUAACAUUUGACCAUGAGGCUCACACUAAACUAGUUUUCUCAUGAACUUCUUUUUACGAAAAUGAAAAUUAUAAACAAAAUAUAUUUUAAGUCUUUUAUGUUUAGCUCAAUUUUUUUUAAGUCCUGUAAAUUUAUUUUUUUUCUAAUUCAGUCUUCUAAGUUACGUUCAGUUUUCAUCAUUAAUUUUUAAGAUAUACUAAAUUAUACAUAUGAUUCUUUAAGUUUGAAAAUUUUCUCGAAUUAUUAUCAUAAAUAUUAAGAUCUAAUUGAAACAUCGAAUUUCUGUAUAUUUUUACCAAAACUAUAAAACUCACCUCAACUCUAUAGUUACUAUACACUACUAGCACAUGAGUGUAAACUCCAAAAGAGGAUUCCCAGGGUCCUAAAAUUACAAUCAAUUUCUAGCAUUUUGAGAACUAGAAAUCAUCACAAGCUAUGUUGAAUUUUCUAGUUUACAUAAAAAAAAAACAUUUCUUGGUUGGUGAUGCAUUUGAUUUGAUUCAUAGCCUUAAUCCUUUAUUCUGGUAGUGGAAUAUCAGCUAAGUCUUGUCUAUAAGGAACAUGGUUUAACUCUAACUGACCAUUAUCAAUAAUUCCCUUUUCCACGUUGCUUUGCAUUACUGUGUCGUUCUUCGUCUCGAUAAAUGUCACAACAGUGUCUUUUCUGAAGGUAAGGUAAAUAACUGAGACAAUAUAAAUUACCAUUAGAGGAAACACUAUAAUCCCAAUGAACACAUUUGCCACCUUUGGUAGACUACUGUGAAUUAGCCACUUCACAAAAGCAGUACUGAGGUAGUACACAUUUAUACCAAUGAUCCCAGCGCCUAGUAUCCAUGAGAUAGUAAUUAUCUGCACAAAAGAUUGUUACAUUUUUUUCAAUCUUUAUUUAAGAAUAUCUAAUUCCAUCUUAAAGUUACAACCAAAAUUAAGUAGCAUACAUAUCGAAAGGGUAAAUGACAACUCACAAUCAUAGAAUUCUUGUGAGGUCCCAUCUUGGUACUGCUGCUGCUAAACUUAAGAAGUGGAAUUAAAGCAAAUGGAAGCUCAAAAGAAAGUAUCAUCUGCAAAACAAUUCUAAUUAGUGUGUUUUUACUUCAACUUAAUGCAGCAUGUGUGCUAUAAAGGAAGGAAGGAAUGACAAAGUAUACAAACUGAUGCGAUGAUGAUAAGCUGACUAGAGCCAGAAGAACCGCCAACGAUGGAAAC